AUCCAUCUGAAGAGUCCAAAAUAGGACGAAACGCGCAUCUUGGAU
rfam:Schistosoma mansoni, Puerto Rico, WGS project CABG01000000 data, contig: 0071